rnacentral:tRNA from 1 species
GGGGAAUUAGCUCAGAUGGCAGAGCGCUCGCUUAGCAACUUCUUGUAACAUGCGAGAGGCAGGGGGAUCGAUACCCCCAUUCUCCA